UACGGGGGGGCAAGCGUUGUUCGGAAUUACUGGGCGUAAAGGGCGCGUAGGCGGCCUGCUAAGUCGGACGUGAAAUCCCUCGGCUCAACCGGGGAACGUGCGUCCGAUACUGGCGAGGCUUGAAUCCGGGAGAGGGAUGUGGAAUUCCAGGUGUAGCGGUGAAAUGCGUAGAUAUCGGAAAGAACACCAACGGCGAAAGCACUCUGCUGGGCCGACACUGACACUGAGAGACGAAAGCUAGGGGAGCGAAUGGG
rnacentral:rRNA from 1 species